rnacentral:siRNA from 1 species
CUUAGGAACGAAUUCCAGUUG